rnacentral:rRNA from 1 species
UGGCGGCAGGCCUAACACAUGCAAGUCGAGCGGUAGAGAGGUGCUUGCAUCUCUUGAGAGCGGCGGACGGGUGAGUAAUGCCUAGGAAUCUGCCUAGUGGUGGGGGAUAACGUUCGGAAACGGACGCUAAUACCGCAUACGUCCUACGGGAGAAAGCGGGGGGAUCUUCGGACCUCGCGCCAUUAGAUGAGCCUAGGUCGGAUUAGCUAGUUGGUGAGGUAAUGGCUCACCAAGGCGACGAUCCGUAACUGGUCUGAGAGGAUGAUCAGUCACACUGGAACUGAGACACGGUCCAGACUCCUACGGGAGGCAGCAGUGGGGAAUAUUGGACAAUGGGCGAAAGCCUGAUCCAGCCAUGCCGCGUGUGUGAAGAAGGUCUUCGGAUUGUAAAGCACUUUAAGUUGGGAGGAAGGGUAGUAACCUAAUACGUUGCUACUUUGACGUUACCGACAGAAUAAGCACCGGCUAACUUCGUG